UGAGCAAUCUGCCCUUCUCUUCGGAAUAAGCGUUGGAAACGACGUCUAAUGCCGAAUACGACCUCCUUUCGCAUGAUCGGAGGUGGAAAGCUCCGGCGGAGAAGGAUGAGCUCGCGGCCUAUCAGCUAGUUGGUGUGGGUAAUGGCCCACAAGGCGACGACGGGUAGCCGGCCUGAGAGGAUGGACCGGCCACACGUGGGACUGAGACACGGCCCAGACCUCCGUACGGGAGCAG
rnacentral:rRNA from 1 species